rnacentral:rRNA from 2 species
UCGGACCGCGUCCCCAG